UUUAUUUUUAGGCAAAAUAUUUUUUGACUAUGUCUGCAUUCACCGGAGAUGGCAAUUCUUCCUCAUUCAUUGUUAUGAGGAUUAGACCUCCACCCGAGAAGGCCUUCUUGAUGACAAAAGGUCUUUCGUAGUUGGGAGUCUAUUUGCCUCGAGAAUCUGAGUGAAUAGCAGAAUAUCUUUUGAGCACGAGCUCUCCUGCA
rnacentral:lncRNA from 1 species